UGUGGGUGCUUGGAUCGAACAGAAGGCAGGGGCGACAAAGGGUUUCCUUCAAACCCUAGUUUACACACAAAAUCCUUAAAUUGAAGCCUCAAAUCUGCCCUAAAUCAAGUCUUGAACAUGAAUUAGUGAUCACCUCGUUGUAGGGAUCAAAAAGGUAAAGAAUCCGGGUCGUCAAGUGGACAAGCCGGAGGUGAUACACGCUUAAAGGGUGCGCUUUGAAGCAUGGUAAAGAUGCUCUUUAGACCCCGGAGGAUGAUCAAGCCAUGUCAAGAACCGAACACACCGAACAAAGCUUCCGCAUUUUGUCUAUUUUGUUUUAGUGACAUGUAAACACUUGAAAUUAUGUUUUGAAAGUUUAUCUAGCAUGAUGUAGACUUGAAUAUUAUGAUCAAGUAUGAUCUUAAGAC
rnacentral:lncRNA from 1 species